AACGAACGCUGGCGGCAGGCCUAACACAUGCAAGUCGAGCGCCCUGCAAGGGGAGCGGCGGACGGGUGAGUAACGCGUGGGAAUUUUUCCUGGAGUACGGAACAACCGAGGGAAACUUCGGCUAAUACCGUAUGAUGCCGAGAGGCCAAAGAUUUAUCGCUCUGGGGUGAGCCCGCGUCAGAUUAGGUAGUUGGUGGGGUAAAGGCCUACCAAGCCUGCGAUCUGUAGCUGGUCUGAGAGGACGAUCAGCCACACUGGGACUGAGACACGGCCCAGACUCCUACGGGAGGCAGCAGUGGGGAAUCUUGCGCAAUGGGCGAAAGCCUGACGCAGCCAUGCCGCGUGAGUGAAGAAGGUCUUAGGAUUGUAAAGCUCUUUCGCCCGUGACGAUGAUGACGGUAACGGGAGAAGAAGCCCCGGCUAACUUCGUGCCAGCCGCCGCGGUAAC
rnacentral:rRNA from 1 species